rnacentral:tRNA from 1 species
GAGAUAUUAGUAAAAACAUUACAUAACUUUGUCAAAGUUAAAUUAUAGAGUUAAAUCUAUAUGUCUCA